AUGCUAAUCAUACAAGUACAAGCCUUACAGAACACAAAUAUGGACCCAAGAGAAUACAUUAUUUGGAUUAAAAUUUGGCAAGUGCCUACAAAUUUAAGAUUGAAAAAAGAUAAGUGCCCCGUGAUGCCUUUGCCCUUGUCCAUUUCCUUCAGGAAGAGGUCAAGGAGGUCGGUGGCGGACCCAACUUGUAUUUGGUGCCUCCCCAAGAUUAGGAUGGCACCGCUCCUCAGCAAGGAGGAAGAAACCGAAGGGCGUACACUGAUGGUGACACUGCCGAAGGAUCGGAUGGAGGAUGCAGAGUCGCCAGCAAACAUGACUCGUCGAAACGGUCAUCCCCAUUCCUGA
rnacentral:rRNA from 1 species